rnacentral:rRNA from 1 species
UACGUAGGGUGCGAGCGUUGUCCGGAAUUAUUGGGCGUAAAGAGCUCGUAGGCGGUCUGUCGCGUCGAAUGUGAAAACCCGGGGCUCAACUCCGGGCUUGCAUCCGAUACGGGCAGGCUAGAGUUCGGUAGGGGAGUCUGGAAUUCCUGGUGUAGCGGUGAAAUGCGCAGAUAUCAGGAGGAACACCGGUGGCGAAGGCGGGACUCUGGGCCGAUACUGACGCUGAGGAGCGAAAGCGUGGGGAGCGAACAGG